CUGUGCCGGCGAUGAUUCAUUCAAGUUUCUGCCCUAUCAACUUUCGAUGGUAAGGUAUUGGCUUACCAUGGUGACAACGGGUAACGGGGAAUUAGGGUUCGAUUCCGGAGAGGGAGCGUGAGAAACGGCUACCACAUCCAAGGAAGGCAGCAGGCGCGCAAAUUACACAAUCCUGACACAGGGAGGUAGUGACAAUAAAUAACAAUACAGAGCCCUAGUGGUUUUGUAAUUGGAAUGAGUACAAUUUAAAUCCCUUAACGAGGAACAAUUGGAGGGCAAGUCUGGUGCCAGCAGCCGCGGUAAUUCCAGCUCCAAUAGCGUAUAUUAAAGUUGUUGCAGUUAAAAAGCUCGUAGUUGGAUUUUGGUAUGGAUGCGGUGGUCCGCCGAUUGGUGAGUACUGCCGUGUGCAUGCCCCCUCUCAUAGACCUGCGGUGGUCUUAACUGGCUGCUGUAUGGGAUAUGGGAUUUUUACUUUGAAAAAAUUAGAGUGUUCAAAGCAGGCCUUUGCUUGAAUACAUUAGCAUGGAAUAAUGAAAUAGGACCUCGGUUUUAUUUUGUUGGUUUCUAAAACCGAAGUAAUGAUUAAUAGGGAUAGUUGGGGGCAUUAGUAUUUAAUUGUCAGAGGUGAAAUUCUUGGAUUUAUGAAAGACUAACUUCUGCGAAAGCAUUUGCCAAGGAUGUUUUCAUUAAUCAAGAACGAAAGUUAGGGGAUCGAAGACGAUUAGAUACCGUCGUAGUCUUAACCAUAAACUAUGCCGACUAGGGAUCGGGGGGACGCGUUUCGCGCUCCUCGGCACCUUAUGAGAAAUCAAAGUUUUUGGGUUCCGGGGGGAGUAUGGUCGCAAGGCUGAAACUUAAAGGAAUUGACGGAAGGGCACCACCAGGGGUGGAGCCUGCGGCUUAAUUUGA
rnacentral:rRNA from 1 species